rnacentral:rRNA from 1 species
UACAUGGGGUGCAAACGUUGCUCGGAAUUAUUGGGCGUAAAGCGUGCGCAGGCGGUUCGUUGUGUCGGCGGUGAAAGCCCCGGGCUCAACCUGGGAAUGGCCGUUGAAACUGGCGAACUGGAGUGUGGCAGAGGGGGGUGGAAUUCCGCGUGUAGCAGUGAAAUGCGUAGAGAUGCGGAGGAACACCGAUGGCGAAGGCAGCCCCCUGGGCUGACACUGACGCUCAGGCACGAAAGCGUGGGGAGCAAACAGG